AGCAGCCGCGGUAAUUCCAGCUCCAAUAGCGUAUAUUAAAGUUGUUGCAGUUAAAAAGCUCGUAGUUGAAUUUCGGGAUCGACGGGUCGGUCGCGCCUCUGGUGUGUACUGGCCCUGUCGGUUUCUCCCUUCUGAAGAACCGCGAUGUCAUUAAUUUGGUGUCGUGGGAAAUCAGGACUGUUACUUUGAAAAAAUUAGAGUGUUUAAAGCAGGCAUUCGCUUGAAUACAUUAGCAUGGAAUAAUGAAAUAGGACGUUUGAUCUUAUUUUGUUGGUUUCUAAGAUCGACGUAAUGAUUAAUAGGGAUAGUUGGGGGCAUUAGUAUUCAAUUGUCAGAGGUGAAAUUCUUGGAUUUAUUGAAGACUAACUACUGCGAAAGCAUUUGCCAAGGAUGUUUUCAUUAAUCAAGAACGAAAGUUAGGGGAUCGAAGACGAUCAGAUACCGUCGUAG
rnacentral:rRNA from 1 species